rnacentral:rRNA from 1 species
AUGAAGGCCUUAGGGUUGUAAAGCUUCUUUCGCGGCGCGACGAUGAUGACGGUAGCGCGAGAAGAAGCCCCGGCCAACUCGUGCCAGCAGCGCGGUAAUACGAAGGGGCGAGCGUUGUCGGAAUUACUGGGCGUAAAGAGCGCGCAGGCGGCCAAUUAAGUUAGAUGUGAAAGCCCCGGGCUUAACCUGGGAACUGCAUUUAAUACUGAAUGGCUAGAGUGUGAUAGGGAGAGGCGGAAUGGCGAGUGGAGCAGUGAAAUGCGUUGAUAUUCGUUGGAACACCGGAGGCGAAGGCGGCCUCUUGGAUCAUAACUGACGCUGAGGCGCGAAAGCGUGGGGAGCAAACAGGAUUAGAUACCCUGGUAGUCCACGCCGUAAACGAUGUAUGUUGAACGUUGGGGGUUUUAGAUCUUCAGUGUUGAAGCUAACGCGGUAAACAUACCGCCUGGGGAGUACGGUCGCAAGAUUAAAACUCAAAGGAAUUGACGGGGACCCGCACAAGCGGUGGAGUAUGUGGUUUAAUUCGAGGCUACGCGAAAAACCUUACCAGCUCUUGACAUGGGUAUCGUACGAUGGAGAGAUUCAUCGGUCGGUUCGGCCGGAUACCACACAGGUGCUGCAUGGCUGUCGUCAGUUCGUGUCGUGAGAUGUUGGGUUAAGUCCCGCAACGAACGCAACCCUUGCUGCUAGUUGCCAUCAUUAAGUUGGGCACUUUAGUAGAACUGCCGGUGAUAAGCCGGAGGAAGGCAGGGACGACGUCAAGUCAUCAUGGCCCUUAUGGGCUGGGCUACACACGUACUACAAUGGCAAUGACAAAGCGUAGAGCAAAGCAGCAAUGUUAAGCAAAUCGCAAAAAAUUGCCUCAGUUCGGAUUGUCCUCUGCAACUCGAGGGCAUGAAGUCGGAAUCGCUAGUAAUCGUAGAUCAGCACGCUACGGUGAAUACGUUCUCGGGUCUUGUACACACUGCCCGCCACAUCAUGGGAGUUGGUCCUAUCUUAAGGCGGUGAGCUAACCAGCAAUGGAGGCAGCCGACUACGGUGGGGUCGAUGACUGGGGUGAAGUCGUAACAAGGUA